rnacentral:misc_RNA from 1 species
UUUUUUUUCAAUUCCCCUUUUCAAUAAAAUUGAAGAUCUAAAAUCAUAAAAGCCAAAUUUUGGUAAAAUUGCCCACUGGCAACUCUCCAGCGAGUGAAUGUUUACACAAGCUAGAGGGUCAUAAUUUUAUUAAUCAAAACAAAUUAUAACCUGUCCAGUGGAAGAAACAUGGAUAAUGUAAACAGAAAGAUAUAGAUGUCAAAAAAAAAAAAGAAAAGAAAAGACCAAAAGGUUUUUUUUUUUUUUCUUUUUAUUUUGUAAUGAUCCUUCCGCAGGUUCACCUACGGAAA